UCAGACUGAAAAGAAAUUCAAAAAGAAAAGAAUUUUCUCGGUAGUAUACAGCAGCUAAGUACUGGAAGGAUUGGGAUUUAUUUAAUAGAAGUCAUUUACAAAUCUGUUUAAUUUUCUGGCACCAGUUAAUUUAAAAUAAUUUUUUUUUCCCAGUGGAGUACACCUUUAAGUACAGCGCCCGCCCGUCUGUCAGUCCCAAUGAGAUUGGAGUGGCUGCGGGCAUGCUCCACCACUACUCUAUUUAGCGAUAGGGUCCCACCACUGGAAACAUCCAUUCUCAUAUGCAGAGGGGUCCCCAGUGGUGGAACUCCGAGCAAUCAGACAACUUAUCCUGUUGAUAGGUGAUGUCUCUAUCUUUGGGACAACCCCUUUAAGCACACUCCAAACUGUAUUCUCGUACCUGACAAGUCCAAUUUGAAUUUUUUUUCCAUUCCAGGAGAUCUUCAUUGUAGCAUAAGCUGCCUACACUGACCUCCACCACUUUGUCCAUACAUAAUUGUAAUAUAGGAAAGCGCUAGUUUAUUAACCUGAAGAAGCUGCGGACAUAAACCAUUAACGUUCUUUAAAUUUUAUUUUUUUCUAUUUAUAUUUUAUUUUAUUUUUUUACAAAAUUCAAGACAUGGUUUAAGUUUUUAUAAUUUAAUCAAGAAAAAUAAAAAAUAAAACAAUACUGUUCCCCCCUUUAGAAUUUGCCAUAGGGAACACCCCCUCCACAGCAUUGAACAAAGUCCCUUUUAUUGUUGUGUUUCCAGCUGGGUCCCACCAUACUGUGAUUGUGAAGGACAGGAAGGUACCUGUAAGGACAGGAGAGGACUUUGUGACACUAGUAGAACAGAAUUAUGCAGCAGUCAACAAGCCGUUCACCAGGAUUGCAUGUCGUACUGCUUGCUGCAGAUCAAAGUCCUGUCUUGGCGGUGCAGAGGGGGUGGAUUCUACCAGUCACGUCCUGAACACAUUGGAGGCCAUUGUUUCGCCAGCGCCAGGGAUACUCAGGAAGAUCUUUAAUGCCCCCCAAGUAACCGGUGAAGCUUCCUCCUCUAGUAGUAUUCUUGUGCAUACGGAUGACUCCACUGUGUAUAGGUGCAGGAUGCACUUUACUAUUUUAUGGUGAAUACCUCUUUAUGUAGAUAAACAUGCACACAUUAGUUUUUACUCUCCUCUAAUUGGACUCUUGUGUGCCCCCAGCUACAAUGUGCAGAAUUCAGGGAAACAUAAAAUAUCUGUACCUUUUUUUUUUUUUUUUUUUACAAUUUUACACCCGUGGCUGUAAACUCUCAUGUCAUGUAACAGGGAUAUUAUGAUGAAGGUGUUGUGAGAAUGCUGCACUGUAUACGAUGAUGAUAUACGUUGACCUUUAUAAGCUCACAAGUACUUGUCUACAAAUAAAAAAAAAAAGGUGCUUGUCAAUGAAUUAUUUCAUUUUUUUUAACCCUUUCUAUAUACAGUGAUCCCUCAACUUACAAUGGUUUCAACAUACAAUGGUCUUUUCUGGACCGUUGUAACUUGAAACCAGACUCAACGUACAAUGUACAGACAGUCCAGAUCUGUGAAAUGUGUCAAUGGCCGGAAGAACCGACCAAUCAGAAUGGAUAUUUCACUGGUAAAACCACUGUAUUCCUAAAGUGCAUGCACUGACUGGUGUCUGGUAGCGCCGCCCUACAGUACAGGGAGGUAUUACAUGUUCUGUACUACUUUUAACCUGUGCCAUGGUUUGGGCAGCUCCAUUUUACUUUUUUGGGGGGCAUUGUGUGUACUGUAGAGGACCCUGAAGAAGCUCCUGUCCUCUACAUAGACCAGUGUUACCCAACAAGGGUU